rnacentral:rRNA from 1 species
AUCUACGGCCAUACAACCCUGAACGCGCCCAAUUUCCUCUGAUCUUGGAAGCUAAGCAGGGUCAGGCCUGGUUAGUACUUGGAUGGGAGAUCAUAAAUGGCUGAAAUCC